AACGGCCGUACCAUGCUGAUUAUACCGGUUCUCGUUAGAUCACCGAAGUCAAGCAUCAUUGGGCGCGGUCAGUACUUGGGUGGGUGACCACCUGGGAACACCGCGUGCCGUU